CCUACGGGGGGCUGCAGUGGGGAAUAUUGGACAAUGGGGGCAACCCUGAUCCAGCCAUGCCGCGUGUGUGAAGAAGGCCCUCGGGUUGUAAAGCACUUUCAGUGAGGAAGAACGCCUGGUGGUUAAUACCCAUCAGGAAAGACAUCACUCACAGAAGAAGCACCGGCUAACUCCGUGCCAGCAGCCGCGGUAAUACGGAGGGUGCGAGCGUUAAUCGGAAUUACUGGGCGUAAAGCGCGCGUAGGUGGCUUGAUAAGCCGGUUGUGAAAGCCCCGGGCUCAACCUGGGAACGGCAUCCGGAACUGUCAAGCUAGAGUGCAGGAGAGGAAGGUAGAAUUCCCGGUGUAGCGGUGAGAUGCGUAGAGAUCGGGAGGAAUACCAGUGGCGAAGGCGGCCUUCUGGACUGACACUGACACUGAGGUGCGAAAGCGUGGGUAGCAAACAGGAUUAGAUACCCCUGUAGUC
rnacentral:rRNA from 1 species